GGGCCUGAGUGGUGAUGGUAUGGAUGAAGACAAUGGGACAAAUGCAAGAUAGGAUGUGGAGAACUGACAGGGCUUGUUCUCCUUCAUCAACUGCCUGUUGGAUAUUUCUUGGAUGUUCCACAAGUAUCUCAAACUCAAAACCACAUUUGGGCAGAAAUAUUCCUUUGCUCAUGUUUUCCCCUAUUCAUGGAAUACCCUCUGCUUAUUGGAAUGCUCUUCAUCCUUGAAAGCCCAGCUCAAAUACCACUUCCUCCAGGAAGCCUCCAUGACUACCCCAGGCCAUAUUGACCUGUUCCCAGAGGAAUCUCAGGGAUGCCUGACAGUUUGAAGUAUGAGAUUGUCUCUGGUCUCGGAGCUGACCACGCUGUUCCAUGGCAUGGGAGGAAGCAGGCAUUCCUCUCAUUGCCCAUGGAGCGCAUACCUUACCUGGACCCAGUGAUGAGCUCAACAAGGAUUUCAAAAUGGCAAUGAAGUAUAAUCAGCAGUC